GGAGGGGUGGCAGAGUCUGGCUGAAUGCACCGGUCUUGAAAAUCGGCAUACCGUAAGGUAUCGGGGGUUCGAAUCCCUCCCCCUCCG
rnacentral:tRNA from 1 species